rnacentral:rRNA from 1 species
AACGAACGCUGGCGGCAUGCCUAACACAUGCAAGUCGAACGAGACCUUCGGGUCUAGUGGCGCACGGGUGCGUAACGCGUGGGAACCUGCCCUUAGGUUCGGAAUAACUCCCCGAAAGGGGUGCUAAUACCGGAUAAUGUCUUAGGACCAAAGAUUUAUCGCCUUUGGAUGGGCCCGCGUUGGAUUAGGUAGUUGGUAGGGUAAAAGCCUACCAAGGCGACGAUCCAUAGCUGGUCUGUGAGGAUGAUCAGCCACACUGGGACUGGGACACGGCCCAUACGCCUACGGGAGGCAGCAGUGGUGAAUAUUGGACAAUGGGCGAAAGCCUGAUCCAGCACUGCCGCGUGAGUGAUGAAGGCCUUAGGGUUGUAAAGCUCUUUUACCCGGGAUGAUAAUGACAGUACCGGUAGAAUAAGCUCCGGCUAACUCCGU